AUGGGCGCAAGCCUGAUGCAGCCAUGCCGCGUGUGUGAAGAAGGCCUUCGGGUUGUAAAGCACUUUCAGUCAGGAGGAAAGGUUAGUAGUUAAUACCUGCUAGCUGUGACGUUACUGACAGAAGAAGCACCGGCUAACUCCGUGCCAGCAGCCGCGGUAAUACGGAGGGUGCGAGCGUUAAUCGGAAUUACUGGGCGUAAAGCGUACGCAGGCGGUUUGUUAAGCGAGAUGUGAAAGCCCCGGGCUUAACCUGGGAACUGCAUUUCGAACUGGCAAACUAGAGUGUGAUAGAGGGUGGUAGAAUUUCAGGUGUAGCGGUGAAAUGCGUAGAGAUCUGAAGGAAUACCGAUGGCGAAGGCAGCCACCUGGGUCAACACUGACGCUCAUGUACGAAAGCGUGGGGAGCAAACAGGAUUAGAUACCCUGGUAGUCCACGCCGUAAACGAUGUCUACUAGGAGCUGGGGUCUUCGGACAACUUUUCCAAAGCUAACGCAUUAAGUAGACCGCCUGGGGAGUACGGCCG
rnacentral:rRNA from 1 species